CGACGCCGUAUCCGCCACGUGACCCGUGUCAGAGUAGUAGGAGACGCUUCAGUGAAGAAAAGAGUACGGCCAUCCUCUCCAUUUCUUGUUCCACAACACCAAAAGCUGCAAGGCACUGGAGCAGAUCAAGUUAAUUUUUCAGCAGCCAAGAAGCAUUCUACCAUGCAAGUCAUAGAGCAAAGCAGAUGUGUUGUGAAGUUUGCUUUAUCAUUUGUUUUGUUGUGCACAGUGGGUGAGGGAGAUGAGAGAUGUUUGAGAGAUCAUGCCAAGUGUUUCAUAUGUGCACAAUAUUUUCAUCAUAACACUAGGAAAUAACUUGAGGGAAACUUUUAACAAAUGGAAUCAAAGGCCAUUCCUAAGUUACAUU